rnacentral:tRNA from 1 species
GUGGGUAUAGCUCAGUUGGUUAGAGCGCCAGAUUGUGGAUCUGGAGGUCGCCGGUUCGAGCCCGGUUACCCACC